rnacentral:rRNA from 1 species
UACGGAGGGGGCGAGCGUUAUUCGGAAUUAUUGGGCGUAAAGGGCGCGUAGGCGGCUUUCUAAGUCAAAGGUGAAAUCCCUCGGCUCAACUGAGGAACUGCCUUUGAAACUGGAAGGCUUGAGGCCGGGAGGGGGUAGCGGAAUUCCCAGUGUAGCGGUGAAAUGCGUAGAUAUUGGGAGGAACACCAGUGGCGAAGGCGGCUACCUGGACCGGUACUGACGCUGAUGCGCGAAAGCGUGGGGAGCAAACAGG